UCCUACGGGGCGCAGCAGUGGGGAAUAUUGGGCAAUAGGCGCAAGCCUGACCCAGCAACGCCGCGUGAAGGAAGAAGGCCCUCGGGUUGUAAACCACUUUUGUAGAGAACGAAAAGACACCUUCGAAUAAAGGGUGUUGCUGACGGUACUCCAAGAAUAAGCACCGGCUAACUACGUGCCAGCAGCCGCGGUAAUACGUAGGGUGCGAGCGUUAAUCGGAAUUACUGGGCGUAAAGGGUGCGCAGGCGGUUGAGUAAGACAGAUGUGAAAUCCCCGAGCUUAACUCGGGAAUGGCAUAUGUGACU
rnacentral:rRNA from 1 species